rnacentral:rRNA from 1 species
GACGAACGCUGGCGGCGUGCUUAACACAUGCAAGUCGAACGCUGAAGCCCUGGCUUUUGUUGGGUUGGAUGAGUGGCGAACGGGUGAGUAACACGUGAGUAACCUGCCCUCUUCUUUGGGAUAACGCCCGGAAACGGGUGCUAAUACUGGAUAUUCACUGGCCUUCGCAUGGGGGUUGGUGGAAAGGUUUGUUCUGGUGGGGGAUGGGCUCGCGGCCUAUCAGCUUGUUGGUGGGGUGAUGGCCUACCAAGGCUUUGACGGGUAGCCGGCCUGAGAGGGUGACCGGUCACAUUGGGACUGAGAUACGGCCCAGACUACUACGGGAGGCAGCAGUGGGGAAGAUUGCACAAUGGGCGAAAGCCGGAUGCAGCGACGCCGCGUGAGGGAUGGAGGCCUUCGGGUUGUAAACCUCUUUCGCUCAUGGUCAAGCCGCAACUGUGGGUUGUGGUGAGGGUAGUGGGUAAAGAAGCGCCGGCUAACUACGUG